GCAUCCGUAGCUCAGUCUGGAUAGAGCACUCGGCUACGAACCGAGAGGUCAGGGGUUCAAAUCCUCUCGGAUGCA
rfam:Glossina palpalis gambiensis isolate 146720 unplaced genomic scaffold Scaffold710, whole genome shotgun sequence.